rnacentral:rRNA from 1 species
UAAUACGGAGGGUGCAAGCGUUAAUCGGAAUUACUGGGCGUAAAGCGCACGUAGGCGGUGUGUUAAGUUGGAUGUGAAAGCCCCGGGCUCAACCUGGGAAUUGCAUUCAAAACUGGCACGCUAGAGUAUGUGAGAGGGGGGUAGAAUUCCAAGUGUAGCGGUGAAAUGCGUAGAGAUUUGGAGGAAUACCAGUGGCGAAGGCGGCCCCCUGGCACAAUACUGACGCUGAGGUGCGAAAGCGUGGGGAGCAAACAGG